rnacentral:lncRNA from 1 species
GAAUAAUAUGUAGGAGUAGUAUUUGGUUGGUUUCAUGUCGUUGUCUGAAUAUUAUUUUUACUGCUCAUUUUAUUUGCUGCUCUAAGAUUAGAUUAACUCUAGUACCGUUUCUAAUUGGUGGUUGCCCUGAAAGCACGUUACAGAUUAUUUCCAGUUUUUUGGGAAAAAGACGGAUCUUGAUUUGCCCAAAACCAGGCCAAUUAGUGCCAACAACAAGGUCAAUUCAGAAGGCUCAAGUCGCGUUCAAGCUUCAACCUUUAAUCCAAGUCGAGUUUUCUCCCAAUAAAUUAAAGUCGACGAACAGUUCUUGGCCCUGUUUACUCCCGACAAUUACAGCUUUUGGCCUUUGGAAAUCUGAACGAUCAGCAUCGCCUGAUCUCUUUCAUAAUGUACAAUCUCAGGUAAAUUUCUUUCUUUAAUUCACAUAUCCAAACACACAGCAGCUUCUUCAUGCCAUCGAUCGAUCGGAUUAACGCAAAGAAGAAGAAGAAAAAAAGAAACGUACAUGGUUCAGUGAGAGCUGGUCGACGGUCAGUCUGUGCCGGCGGCGAGGGCGCUGCGGCGGUGGCCGGAGGAGCGGAGGACGGCGUCCAUGAGGGCGAGCCGCUCGGAGANN